AUCUGGGGGAUCUUGCUCGUUAUAAGGGCUUGUAUGGUGAAGGUGAUUCUAAAUCUCGGGACUUUGCAGCAGCUUCUAGUUACUACAUGCAAGCAGCUUCCCUUUGGCCUUCAAGUGGCAAUCCGCAUCACCAGGUGUUGUAUUUCUUGGCCAUUUGCUUGGUGAUUUACUUUUUUUUUUUUUUCAUUUUGAACAGGUUAUUAGUACAUAGCUUGCCUGAUUUAUUCUGUGAUCUAUUGCUUUUCAGCUUGCUAUUUUGGCUUCCUACUCUGGUGAUGAAUUGGUGGCCAUUUACCGGUAUUUUCGAAGCUUGGCAGUUGAUAGUCCAUUUACAACAGCUAGAGAUAACUUGAUUAUUGCAUUUGAGAAGGUGAGCUUUUCAAAAGAACAAUUUAUGACGAAAGGAGCCUUUAUUUUCUUUUUGCUCCUGCUUUUAGACAAUUAUUCAUUUCAGUGCAGUGUUGCUACUUAAAUUGUGCAUAAAUCAUGGUUACAGUCAAUACUGGUUAAUCUCUGAUUCUCUAUGUUGAAUAUCUUCCUGGGUCUCUGUUUUGUGUAUUUGGAAUGUCUAUUUUGACCAUCUGAGUUGUAUGGUCCUGGGCAAAAACUUGUGUUGGAGAAUCUGCCAUGUCAUAACCAUUAACAAACCAGAGUUUCCAGCACUCGACACAACGAUCUUCCCUUCUAAGUAGUUCUAUCUCACUAAUUCCCAUAGCUCAACCAUCUCAACCCACAACCAUCGGCUGCCAAGACCUGGAUGCCUCUUUCAACCCACCACCAUCGACCGGUAACAUCUGGAUCUCGAUGCCUCUAGACACCACAUUUUAGGGCAAUUUGAUAUCCUUCCACUAUUCUACCAGAUCAAACACCAACAGUACCGGAGACCCUAUCUUAUCCCUCUAACUGCCUUUCCUUCCUUGCUUCACCAUUAUUACAACCACCACACAACUCCCCUUGUGCAUUUGAAGGAGGUCUGUUGUGGUCAUUGGAUGGAGGCAAUUGUUAAGUAGUUGAUUCUUGGGUAAUAAAAUAAAGUUCAGUAUCGACUUGAAAUCAAGAUGUUAUAGCCCUGCCAGUAAAUUGAUUAUAGCAGGUUGAGAGUUCCAUCGUUCCAUUGGUUUAAGCUAGAAAGAAGUAAUAGAAUGGGAAUUUAUCUUAAGUUCCAUGCAUAUCUGGAGUUUAGCUUUUGUAUGGACAAUUAUAUCCUGCACUUUGUACAUGCACUUGCUCAAGUACUAUUUUCUUCUAAUGUUUUGUAUGUUUCUGUUAUUUUUUGUUCAAAUUUGAAUGACAGAACCAUUCUUAAGCUGGUUUUUCCUGCUCCUGCUCCUGCUCCUGAUCCUUGUUUCCUCCUUGAUAAUGAAACAUGAAAUGUUUGUCAAAAUACUGAUUUUAUGAUCGAUUUGGCAGAAUCGCCAGAGCUUUGCCCAGCUGCUCGGAGAUGCCAGAGCUUCCUCUGUCAAGACAACUUCAGUGCGUGGAAAUGGGAAAGGAAGGGGCAGAGGUGAAAGCAGGGUUGCAUCCAAGGAUAACAAAGUAGAAGCAAGUUCUGUCAAGGAAAAAACAUCCACCACAUUGGAAACUUUCAGAGCAUUUGGGAUACGAUUUGUUCGGCUAAAUGGCAUUCUCUUCACACGCACAAGGUAUUACUUUUCUUGUUAAUUGUAGUGUUGUAAAUAUUCGGUACACUUAAUGAUGUGUUCUAUUGCUAAUUUGAAUCAGCUUGGAGACAUUUGGGGAUGUUUUUGCUGUGGUUAGAGGUGAUUUGCUGGAGCUUCUUUCUUCUGGGACUGAUGAGGAGUACAAUUUUGGGUCAGAUGCUACUGAUUGUAGACUGGCUAUUGGCAGAAUGGUUGCUAUUCUCAUUUUCACCAUUCACAAUGUGAAUAGGGAAACUGAGAACCAGUCCUAUGCUGAAAUUCUUCAACGCUCGGUCCUACUGCAGAAUGCAUUUACUGCUACUUUUGAGUUUAUGGGCCACAUUCUUGAACGCUGCAGCCAAUUAAAUGAUCCUUCAUCGAGCUAUCUGUUACCUGGUAUCAUGGUUUUUGUGGAAUGGUUGGCUUGUCAUCAAGAUAUUGCAGUUGGAAGUGAAUUGGAAGAAAAACAAGCGAGUGCUAGGUUAUUUUUCUGGAACAACUGUAUCUCCUUCUUCAACAGGCUCAUAUCUUCAGGGUUUAUGUUUGUUGAUGAAGAUGAAGAAGAGACAUGUUUUUCUAACAUGAGCAGGUAUGAUGAAAGUGAAACCGCUAACCGGCUGGCAUUAUCUGAGGACUUUGAGUUGAGGGGAUUUGUUCCUCUUCUUCCUGCGCAACUCAUUCUUGAUUUUUCAAGGAAGCAUUCCUUCAGAAGCGACAGCAAUAAGGAAAAAAAGGCCCGUGUUCAGAGGAUUAUAGCGGCUGGAAAGGCUCUUGCUAAUGUGGUCCGGAUUGGGGAAGAGGGAAUUUACUUUGACACAAAAUCGAAGAGAUUUGUUGUUGGCGUUGAACCUCAAGUUUCUGAUGAUUUUUCACUUACUACUACUUUGGAAGCCCCAAAAUUAAGUGGUGUAGUGGAGGAUAAUCUAGUUUCAGGUCAAAUGACUCCUAGGGCCUUGGAGCAAAAGCCGCAGUUGUACAUGGAAGGUGAAGAAGAGGAUGAUGAGGUAAUUGUGUUCAAGCCAUCUAUGACUGAAAAGCAUUUAGAUGGGAUAGCUUUAAAUCCGACUUCUUCAGAGGUAUUUGGAUCUACUAUGAAUGCUGCCAGUAUAGGGGGUGAUGUUGGAUCUUUCUCUACCGGACGUGAGGGUUAUAUUGCACAGAAUGCUUUCAGUGCAAGCUUAAGGCCACCUACUUCCCUUGUGAAUUCUAGUUAUCUGCAACCAGUUCAACCAAGUACCACUUGGAUGGCAGAACAAGGAACUCUUGUGAAUGGGCUUGGUAAUUUGAAUUUGUUCGAGAAUGGGUUCAUAAAGAAACCUGAAUCGCAAAAACACUUUGGAGCUUUGCCAGCUCAAACCUUUCCUGUUUCCCUUCCAGACUCGAGUUUUGGCACUGGCAGCAAUUUCCCUAAUCAGUUACCCGAAACUGUGGUACCUUCAAAGCUUGAUUCAAUCAUGUCUCUAGGAGCUGAUAACAUAUCCAUGAAGCCUUCAUCAGUCUCACCUGCUGGGUUGAAGAAAAAUCCAGUAGGUCGACCUCUUCGGCAUCUCGGUCCUCCACCUGGCUUUGGUUCUGUACCAUCCAAAACUGUUGAUGAGUCACUAUCUGCUAUGUCCUUUAAGAACGAAAAUGCUACCAUUCCCCAAAUGGAUGAUUACAGCUGGCUCGAUGGCUAUCAGUUGCCUCUGGUCAAUAGAAGUGUGGCCGGGCUUAAUAGUUCUAAUCAUCCAGGACAGGGUUACCCUAUUGGUAGCAAGAGCAGCAGCUCAAUGGGGAUGCCGAGCUUUCCUUUUCCUGGGAAGCAGACAACUACAUUGCAAGUCCCAAUUGAGAAUGAGAAGAGUUGGCAGGAUUACCAGUUCUCUGAACAGAUGAAACUAUUCAAGGAGCAACAGCAGCAACUUCAGAAAGCAAAUCAGCAAUCUGCUGUGUUGCAACAGCAGUUUCAGGGACAAUCUCUUUGGGAAGGUCGUUUCUUUGUGUGAGAGAU
rnacentral:lncRNA from 1 species